rnacentral:lncRNA from 1 species
AAAUCCUUUAUCCAAACCCAUAUCAAGGUUUUGGUAUUAUUUUCCUUCUACAACCUACUUCAGCUUCCUAAUGAUACUGCAACCCAAAAUAUCAAGACAGGUAUACCACCCCUUUAAACAGCAUAGUAUAGCCAAGUUUCUUGAUGAAUAUAAAGUUGAUUUUCUUGGCCUGAUUGAAACUAAAGUAAGACACUUCAAUUUUAUAUUUGUAGUAAU